ACGCAAGCACUUUCCGGGCCAACUUGGCGAUGACGCUUGUGUGCUCACAGGCAGAAAGGCUACCUGAGAUUCGCAACCCACGUUAUCCACACACAUUUUGGGGGUACGAUAGAGACUGAUAGAACAGGCAACGAGUGAGGGGGCUGCCCUUCAGUUACAGCGCGGGGGGCACUUCACGGCGACACGCUUACCCACCUCAACCCAUCCCCUGCCCCUACACGGGUGUUCGGCCGUGCAUACCGUUGCUUCCUUGCCCCGGCCAACCUUAGCAGUCCAGCCCAACAAAAGAGGCCGCUAAUAGAAGCCUUGGCAGAGGGGCAGGAAAAAAACCAAAGAAAGCAUGGCGACAGCUUCCGGGGCGCCGGAGCCGUGGGAGCGCAUCUCCACCUACUACGCGUCUACCCGAAAGAACAUCAACGUCCUUGUCGCUCCAACGGCCGACGCGGCCGCAGCCUCCCUCAGCUUGACCUACCUCAUGAAGGUGUUUCUGUUCCCCUUCCAGCUGCACCCCACUAGCUCGUAUGACGAGCUGAAGUGGUUUAUUGAGCAAACCAACUUUGCGCAGGACAGCGAGCGCGAGGAUGACAGCAGCCUGCGCAUCGACGACCUCUUCAUCCUCGUGGGCCUCGGUGCACCCGUUUUGCUCGAGGACUACUUCGACUUCACGCGGCACAUCGUCAUCGUCUUGGACGCCUACCGCCCUUUUCACCUUGGCAAUCUUCGCCGCGAGGACGGCGAACGCUGCAUCAUCUGGGGCAGCGACCGCAUACAGGUUGAGGUGGAUGACUUCUUUCGAAAGCAGCGCGCCGAGGAGGCGCAGCGGCGGCGGCGGCAUCGCCGCCGCCAGGACAUGAAGCGCCAUGAGGGCCACGCGCGACGCCAGCGCACCGAGGACGGUGGGGAGCAGAACGCCGACGUCUACAGCGAUGAGAGCAGCAUCAGCACCAGCAGCGAGGAGGAAGAGAACGCGGACUCUGACGGUGACGAGGAUGCCGACCUCUUUGAUGGCGAGGACGAUGACGCGACCCCGUCGCAGAGCCAGGAUCGCGUGGACUGGCGCAGCGCACCUGGCGAGGUAUCGGCACACUUGGAGGCGCUGUACUACGCAUGCUCUUGCGCCGGUCGCAGCAGUGCGGUGGAGGUGUACGACUUGUCAGUCAUGUUGCACCGCUUCCACGACACGAUUCUCUGGCACGCCGCCGUCGGCGUCUGCGAUUUGUAUCUGCGCCGUCUCGUCGACUACGCCACGUACCUGGUGGAGAUGGCACCGCUGCACGAGGCUGUCUCGCUUCAGCAAAGCGUGCGACGCGGCAUUCUUCGCGACCGCACCGACGAGGCCGUCAACAGCUAUCACCGAGCGUCCACAAAUAGCAUGCAGCUGAACAAUCGCGAGGAGGAGCAGCUCUACCUGCUGCGGCACUCCACUCUCUGGGACGCCAUCUGGUACGAUUCGCAAGUGGCGAGCACGCUCGACCUGCAUCACGUAGAGGACGGCCGCCCGCGACUGAGCCAGCUGCUUGCGAGUCGCUGUGGUGUGUCUAUCGCAAUGGCACAGCGACCCUGGCGCGAGGUGCCAACGGAUGUGGGCAGCGAAGCGCUAUGCCGCGUACAAGCAGAGCUGCAGAACUGGGUGAAUUCUCAGGGCAACUCCAUUGCGUACAGGAAUCGCAUACGGUGCAUCUCUCGCAAGGUGGGCUACAGCACUGAGGUGUCCACGUUCGACGUGUGCAAGCUCUUUACCGCUGAGAUGGCAGCGGUGCCGCCAGCGUCGGUGUACGUCAUCGAGAGGCCCCCAGGGAAGGCCAGCCUUUCACCCGAGGAGGUGGCGGCGUUGGCACAGCGCAAGCUUGUCGAGUUUCAGCGGGGCCAGUUCUGGCGCGCAAGCGCUGUGCUGGACAUAGACCCGAACGAAAAGCUGUUUCACGAAGCACUGGCGGGGGCUCUGUCGCUGCAGCAGGCUGUGGCCGACGCGACGGGCUCCAUGAUGCAGCCCGGCAACGUGCAGAGCAGCACGGGGAUUCACUACGCGCUGCCAUCGGACCCGGCCAAGACCUCACCGACGCUGGAGAGCUUCUGCACCAUGCGGCGACUCUCCGUCCUUGCGGAGCGGCUCUUCUUCACGCUUUCCAUGAGCCGCCGGCGUGACCGGCGUGCUUUGACGGCGUUGCGGCCUCUCAUCCUCUCCUGCGCCUUGCCGCAGGCACGCCUAGCGGCCCUGCCCACGGCGAGCAGCGGCAGCGGAAGCGGUUUACCAUCUGGACCCGGCAAGGAUGCGUUGGCGCCUGCUGUGCACUGGAGUAGGGCCAGUGGGGCUGCGCCUUCAGCGUCUGCCGCCACUGCCGCUGGUGGCGUUUUCAUUGGCGGCGGUGCACAGGUGGAGGACACGGCCGAGUACGUCGUCGUGCUAACCCACGGCGGUAACACGGGGGCUGGCAUGACCCCACUCCUUCCCAUGUACCGCUUUGCGCGGUGCAUGCAAGAUGAGCACUUCCACACGCCGCCGCGCCAGCUCUUUGUGGAGCGGAAUGCGGUGCAGGUGCGCGGUCGCGAAAAUACGACCUACCUGGCCGAGCGCAUGCUGCUCCUGUCGUUGAAGACUACAAUACCGCAGCACGAGUUCCGCAAGAGACGUGCGCCCGCGGUCGAUGAGUACGAUGAUGACGAUGUAGAGUGGGAGGCCGUGGAGGUGGUGGACUAGUCGAAGAAGAGCCUGCGCGACACUGGACUUGGGGCGGUUUCGUGGGUUCGCUUUCCUCGUGACUGGAAAAGGCUUUGACAAGGCCAGAGAAAAGAAUAGGCAGUGCUGCUGGUUCGCCUCCCCCCCCCCCCCCCCCCCCCCCACCUGCCCUCCUCCUCGCACCCCCGCGUCGACGAACUCGAGUGUGCAUAGGGCGAAUUUCGUGUAGAUGAUUCUAUUCGCCGGCGGCCGUGCGGAUUUCUCCUUUCACUUGGCAUGCGCUUGAUGUGUACGCGGUGCUCGUUUUCUUUUCAUCUCAUAGAUGCUCCUAUCUCCUUAUCUUUUCCUUUACAG
rnacentral:misc_RNA from 1 species